AUUUCAAAAUCUUAUAAAUAAAUAGAAAAAGAGGUGGAAAGCAGAAAACCUUCUGCAUUAGCCAUUCUACCUCUAAUAGCCUGCCAAUUUAAAGAAGAAGAGCUUUUCACUCUUAAGGAUUCUGUUGCAACAGAAGAAGAAAUAAAACAUGCUGCUAAAGAUUCUACACGGCCAUCAUUAAUUAUUACAGGAUCCUCCUUAUAUGAUGAAGCAUGCAAAUGCUAUAUAGUCGUUGAGGAAAAUAUUGUCUUAAAAUCUAAUGACGUAUUAAAGGGUGUCUUAUUGCUGCUUCUUACUUAUUACGUAUAUGGCUAUAACUAUCCAAC